rnacentral:rRNA from 1 species
UACAGAGGUCUCAAGCGUUGUUCGGAUUCAUUGGGCGUAAAGGGUGCGAAGGUGGCGCUGUAAGUCGGGUGUGAAAUUUCGAGGCUUAACCUCGAAACUGCAUUCGAUACUGCGGUGCUUGAGGACUGGAGAGGAGACUGGAAUUCAUGGUGUAGCAGUGAAAUGCGUAGAGAUCAUGAGGAAGACCAGUGGCGAAGGCGGGUCUCUGGACAGUUCCUGACACUGAGGCACGAAGGCCAGGGGAGCAAACGGG